GUGUCUUCUUGCAAGGGAUUUGAACAUGAGAUUAAGGAGUAUUCAAGACAAUUUCUUUCAUAUAGCAUGCAGCCAAUGAGAGAACACCAGAUUUUACCUGUGAUGUAAUGUCCUGAGCUGACUCCCUUGGGAAAACAACAUGGUGACUGUCUAGUCUCUGGGUCUGGGCAAUCCUGCAGUGUCAGAACUGAAGCCGCGCUGUCAGCAUUUCCUCCAGUUAGAAGGAUGACCACAGGU